GCCGGACUCAGGCUUUUUAACAACUACAUAUUUGUUGUGUUAUGUUUGAUGUUUGAAUUACCACAGACAGUCGGUAUUCCAAUGUAACUUUGUUGACAAAUUAAACACCCUUACUGGCCGAUAAGUAUGUGUAGUCAAAUGAUGCAGAAUAAGCACAGACAAAACAAAAAAGCACCUUGGAAAAUUAUUUUAGAAAGUGAAAGACCUGGAUGCUUCAUAUCUUGUAUGCAGAGAUACCUCAUUUUAUGAAGUUUCCGUCUGUUAUAUGUCCAUUGUUCUUGACUGCAUUUUUCGUGAUUCAGCGACUGCUUGAUAAAAAAAUAGUUCUUUUGUCAUGUGAAUUUCUCACUUAUUAUGAGUAGUAGGAAAACUAUAUAUUAUUUUUAAAAGUAUUUGGGUUCCUUGCAAAGCUUACAUUUCCAUCAGACAGGGUUUACCUGUCCUCGACCUCAUUUUAUGAAUCGG
rnacentral:lncRNA from 1 species